rnacentral:rRNA from 1 species
AUGAAUGUCGGGGUCAACAAAUAUCCGAAUAAUCAGAAUGGGAAGGAAGCAAACGGCAAACACAAUGGUGGUAACAACAACAAUGGAGGCAACAGCAACAACAACUCUGUUGACAAGCGCUUCAAAACAUUGCCAACAAGCGAGAUGCUACCGAGGAAUGAAGUUCUUGGUGGAUACAUCUUUGUCUGCAACAAUGAUACCAUGCAGGAGGAUCUCAAGAGACAGCUUUUUGGCUUGCCAGCAAGAUAUCGUGAUUCAGUCCGAGCCAUCACUCCUGGUCUACCUCUUUUCCUCUACAACUACACGACCCAUCAGCUACAUGGGGUGUUUGAGGCUGCUAGUUUUGGAGGAUCAAACAUUGAUCCCACUGCUUGGGAAGAUAAGAAGUGCAAAGGUGAAUCCAGAUUCCCAGCACAGGUGAGGAUCCGCAUUAGAAGGCUUUGCAAGGCCUUGGAAGAGGAUGCUUUCAGGCCAGUGCUGCACCACUAUGAUGGUCCUAAAUUCCGCCUCGAGCUCUCCAUAGCAGAGACACUGUCACUGCUAGACCUGUGCAAGACAGAAGACGCCUGA